UUUUUUCGCAAUGGGCGCAAGCCUGACGGAGCAACGCCGCGUGAGGGACGAAGGCCUCUGGGCUGUAAACCUCUUUUCUCAAGGAAGAAGACAUGACGGUACUUGAGGAAUAAGCCACGGCUAAUUCCGUGCCAGCAGCCGCGGUAAUACGGGAGUGGCAAGCGUUAUCCGGAAUUAUUGGGCGUAAAGCGUCCGCAGGCGGCCCAGAAAGUCUGUUGUUAAAAAGUGGAGCUCAACUCCAUCCAGGCAAUGGAAACUACUGGGCUAGAGUGUGGUAGGGGCAGAGGGAAUUCCCGGUGUAGCGGUGAAAUGCGUAGAUAUCGGGAAGAACACCAGUGGCGAAGGCGCUCUGCUGGGCCAUAACUGACGCUCAUGGACGAAAGCCAGGGGAGCGAAAGGGAUUAGAUACCCCUGUAGUCCUGGCCGUAAACGAUGAACACUAGGUGUCGGGGGAAUCGACCCCCUCGGUGUCGUAGCCAACGCGUUAAGUGUUCCGCCUGGGGAGUACGCACGCAAGUGUGAAACUCAAAGGAAUUGACGGGGGCCCGCACAAGCGGUGGAGUAUGUGGUUUAAUUCGAUGCAACGCGAAGAACCUUACCAGGGCUUGACAUCCUGCGAACCCCUGAGAGAUCGGGGGGUGCCUUCGGGAACGCAGUGACAGGUGGUGCAUGGCUGUCGUCAGCUCGUGUCGUGAGAUGUUGGGUUAAGUCCCGCAACGAGCGCAACCCACGUCUUUAGUUGCCAGCAUUCAGUUGGGCACUCUAGAGAGACCGCCGGUGAUAAACCGGAGGAAGGUGUGGAUGACGUCAAGUCAUCAUGCCCCUUACGUCCUGGGCUACACACGUACUACAAUGCUACGGACAAAGGGCAGCAAACUCGCGAGAGCUAGCAAAUCCCAUAAACCGUGGCUCAGUUCAGAUCGUAGGCUGCAACUCGCCUACGUGAAGGAGGAAUCGCUAGUAAUCGCAGGUCAGCAUACUGCGGUGAAUACGUUCCCGGGCCUUGUACACACCGCCCGUCACACCAUGGAAGUUGGCCAUGCCCGAAGUCGUUACUCCAACCCGUAAGGGAGGAGGACGCCGAAGGUGGGGCUGAUGACUGGGGUGAAGUCGUAACAAGGUAGCCGUACCGGAAGGUGCGGCUGGAUCACCUCCUAA
rnacentral:rRNA from 1 species